rnacentral:rRNA from 1 species
UACGGAGGGUGCAAGCGUUAUCCGGAUUUACUGGGUUUAAAGGGUGUGUAGGCGGACUUUUAAGUCCGUGGUGAAAUCUCCGGGCUCAACCCGGAAACUGCCAUGGAUACUAUUGGUCUUGAAUGUUGUUGAGGUGGGCGGAACGGGUCAUGUAGCGGUGAAAUGCAUAGAUAUGACCCGGAACACCGAUUGCGAAGGCAGCCCACUAAGCAACGAUUGACGCUGAGGCACGAAAGCCAGGGGAGCAAACGGG